rnacentral:rRNA from 1 species
AUGGAUUCAUCAGCGGCGAAGGUGAAAACUGAGCCGGACGGCGACACACCGACGGUAUCCCUGAAGAAAAGGAAACACGAGGAGGCCGCAAUUGCAAAAGACAGCCUUUGCCGUUCUGAGCAGAGCACGCAGCAUGCUGCCCAUGGCUGCUCGGCCUCCGCGUCCGGCUUGGAUGCCCCGCCAGGAUUCAGCCCGGAGGCACGGCACUCGCCCGUGCCCGCCACACACGACGGCGACAGCGCCGACUGGGAGGCCUCGAGGAAGAUGCUGGAGCGCAUCACCACGCCGUCGUGGGAGAGUGAGUUCGCCGCGGCAAAGCCGUCCGAUGUCGUCGCGUCGAGCUACUCAGCAAUGAUCCGGGCCGCGAACUGCGCGUCGUUCUCCUUCGGCUACGCACUGGAGCUGGAGAAGAAGCUGGCGGCGAGGGACGAAGAUAAUGCCGCUCUGCGGGUGCAGCUCGUAGAGCUGGAGAAGAAGCUGGCGACGCGGGACAAGGAGAAUGCGGCUCUGCAGGUGCAGCUGGAGAGCGCUAAGGCCAAGCUUACCGCGGUGAAGCGCACAGUGGAGGCGGAGGUGAAUGCCAAGACGACGACGGUGUAG